rnacentral:rRNA from 1 species
AUUGAACGCUAGCGGGAUGCCUUACACAUGCAAGUCGAACGAGUGGCGGACGGGUGAGUAAUAUCUGGGAAAGUGCCUAGUGGAGGGGGAUAACUACUGGAAAGAGUAGCUAAUAACGCAUACCAUCGGAUAUGCCCAUAUGGGAUUAGCUAGUAGGUGGGGUAAAGGCGCACCAAGGCAACGAUCCCUAGCUGGUUUGAGAGGACGACCAGACACACUGUAACUGAGACACGGGCCAGACUCCUACGGGAGGAAGCAGUGGGAAAUUUUGGCCAAUGGGGGCAACCCUGAUGCAGCCAUCCGGCGUGUAUGAAGAAGGCCUUCGGGUUGUAAAGUACUUUUAGCGGUGAGGCGUUAUCCGCAGAAUAAGCACCGGCUAACUCCGUGCCAGCCGCCGCGGUAAUAC